rnacentral:lncRNA from 1 species
AGUUUCUGAUGCCUUUUAUCCUUUUCCUUCUCUUUAGCUCCAAAUUCUAACAUUAGUAUCAAGAGUCAUUCUUCUUGAGGGAUCUGUGAAGGCUUAAAGAUAAGUUUUUCUUCAGUUCUUCUAAGUUGAGAGAGCCGAACAACAGUACAAUGGCAUCCAACAACUACUUGGGUGCAGACCCUAUUAUGUUUACAGGAGAAAAUUAUCACAUAUGGAUGAUAAAGAUAAAGGCUUAUCUUAAAGCUCUAAGUCUAUGGGAAGCAAUUGAAAGUGAAAAUGACCCCCUUCAACUUGGACCAAAUCCAACUGUUACACAAAUAAGAAUUAUGAAGAUGCAAAGUCCAAGAAACCAUAGUCUCUCACUUGUCUUCAUUCAACACUUUUUGAUGUGAUUUUCACAAGAAUAAUGGCUUCUGAGGUACCUAAAAAAGCAUGGGAGAAGCUAAAAGAGGAGUUCAAUGGAAGUGACAGAGUGAAAACUGUUAAACUCUUAACUCUCAAAAGAGAAUUUGAGAUGUUAAGGAUGAAAUAAGGAGAUACUGUGAAAGAGUAUUCUGCCAAACUUCUAGAGAUUGUAAAUAAGAUAAGAUUAUUUGGUGAAACUUUUCCAGAUUCAAAGGUGGUGGAAAAGACGAUGAUAAGCUUAUUAGCAAGGUUUGAGUCCAAGAUUUCAGCAAUAAAGGAAUCUUGUGAUUUGAAGACUUUAUCCGUCGCAGAGUUGAUUAGAAAGUUGUAAGCCCAAGAACAAAGAACAAGUAUAAGAGAUGAAGAAGUGGAAUUUUAAGAAAAGCACAAAGGGAAGCAACCUGUGAAGGACAAUAAGAGGAUAGAAAGAGAUAAAGUAGCAAAGAGAAAGCCAUGGAUGGAAUCUUCAUAGAAAGAAAUUUUUUUACCUUGCGUCCACUGUAAAAGAACCAAUCAUCUAAGCAACCUGUGAAGGACAAUAGGAGGAUGGAAAGAGAUAAAGUAGCAAAGAGAAAGCCAUGGAUAGAAUCUUCAUGGAAAGGAAAGUUUCCACCUUGUGUCCACUGUAAAAUAACCAAUCAUCAAGAAAAAGAUUGUUAAUGUAAUUUUUGUAGAAAAAUGGGUCAUUUUGAGAAGAAUUAUAGGGCCAAGCAGGAUCAACCACAACAAUACCAUGUUCAGAAGGCAAAUUUCACUAAAGAGUCAGAAAAGGAAGAAAACUUGUUUAUGGCUACUCAUGAAGAAAACACAACCAACCAAUCCAAAUGGUUCCUAGACAGUGGGUGUACGAGUCGUACAUCAUAUAAUGAGUUCAUUUUUCAUACACUUGACAAAUCACUUAAAGCAAAAGUUAGGGUGGGAAAUGGUGCAACGGUAGAAGCACAUGAAAAGGGUUCAGUUGCCUUUCUGAUACAAGUACGAUCAUGUAGAUGGACUCAUGAGGGCAUAUGUUGGAUCCAAGACUUUGUGUGUGCAAUUUAAGUGCGAAAGAGGACCUAAAUGCACCAAAAAUCAGGCAACAUAUUACACUUGAUGGGCGCCCACUCGUUAAAGGGUCUUUUGGUCAUUUUUGAGUUCCAUUUUGUAAUAUACUAUAAAUAGAACCACUUAGGGUUUCAUUCAUUAGUUAUUGAUGAUAUUUAGUGUGUAACACUUUGUAACACAAGUCCUCUCUUCUCUAAGAGGCAACCCCA